rnacentral:tRNA from 2 species
UUAAUUGAAACCAAAAUAGAGGUAAAUUAUUGUUAAUAAUUAAAAUGAAAACUUUCCAAUUAAA